rnacentral:snoRNA from 1 species
CAGACUGUACUUUCAGGGAUCAUUUCUAUAGUUUGUUACAGGAAGAUCUUUUUUUAUAGAACCUGACUGUAUGAGGUGAAUGGCACUGUUUAUGUAACAUGGCGUUGUUUCUGU